rnacentral:lncRNA from 1 species
AUUAAUUAAUUUAUUUCUUUAAUUAAUUUUAGAUAAUGCUACCAAAAAUUUCAACAUCUUUUUAGAAAAAAUGGAGAGAAAAUAUAGGUUAGAGAGAGAGAGCAUAAUUAAAUAAUAGGAAGAAANAUGCUACCAAAAAUUUCAACAUCUUUUUAGAAAAAAUGGAGAGAAAAUAUAGGUUAGAGAGAGAGAGCAUAAUUAAAUAAUAGGAAGAAAAAUAGAGUCAAGAUUAGAGGGAGUGAGGGAGUUGAAAUUUUAGAAAAAGAGGGGGAGAGAGAGCUAAGUUUAGAGAGAGAAAAAUAGUUGAAGUUUAGAGAGAAAAAGAUAAGUUUAGAGAGAGAUAUGAGGUUAGAGUGUAAAGGAUAAUAAUACUAACUAGCCGGCGGGUAGGGAGAAAGAAAGAUAUUAGACAUAUUAAGAUUACCCAAUUCAUUAAUAUGAGGAUACCCACUCUCCCGCAAGGGAAUGAGAUUAGUACUUUGGGAUGAAUCUCAUUUCCAAGUGAAUCUAAUAUUACCAACUAGAUUACUUAGUGCCUUUAGCCAAACACCGUCAUAUUUUUUUAUUCCCAUUGCAUUACUAGGAAUCUUAAAAAGAUAGCGCGAACCAAACGCACCCU